UGGAAGAGGACCACUCUGUUAAUAUAUAUUCCCCCAAUCCUCCUUACAUUUAUGAACAGAAGGAGAAUAUGAAGUAACAAUGAAAGGGGGGAAACAGGAAAAGUAAUGCAAAACAGAAGGGUGAAAGAUUAUGUUACCUUCAAGGCUAUCCAUGCUUCUGGAUUGGCAAACUGUGAGUACUUUGAGAUUCGAAAAAAAAAGGCUCAUUAAACUAUGGAUGGUAGAAGGAUUUGUAGAACAAGUAAAAGGGUCCACUGCAGAAGAAGUAGCAGAUAGCUAUCUUGUAGAACUCACUUUCCGGAAUAUGCUUCAAGUUGUAGAGAGGAAUGAAUUUGGAAGGCCAAAGAGAUGUAAAAUGCAUGAUCUUCUACGGGAGCUUGCUCUGUCAAUAUCAAUCAAAGAAAAGUUUGGUGUUGUACAUGAUGGAGGAGAGGAAAUGAAAGAAUGCCUAUGUUGGAAAACAGCUAUGCUUCAGUACAGGCUUUCUUAAGCUUACAAGUUUAAGAAUUCGUAAUUUCCCUCAAUUGAAUGAGAUAAUAAUAGAAAAGGGGGUGAUGCCCAAUCUGAAAUCCCUAGAUAUUAUCAGCUGCAUGGAGUUAAACACAGUGCCCAAGGGCAUUGAAUACCUUCAAAAUCUCCAAGAACUGGUUUUGGCAUCUGUCUUAAUGGAACUUUAAAAUCGCAUUGAAGGAGAAGGAACCGUGGAUUUUCCAAAGGUGCAGCACAUCCCAAUGAUCUAAAUCUGGUAGUAAUUCGGAAUGUUUAAUGAAGUUUGUUUUAGCUACCAUCUUGGCAUAUGCACACCAAGUUCCUCAAAACAGAUAGAAUUAGUUUCUGGGUCUGACUCUUAAUGCUGUGUGGGUUUGUAAAGCCUACCAUAUGUUUGAGGAAAGUCCUCUGUGGACGUUGUGUGAUUGGAAGAUACAAGAUGGUGACUUAUGUAACCCCAAGACUUUCCCUGGAUUUUUCAUUACGUCUUUCAUGCAUAUGAUUUUCAAUUGUACGCACAGAGGUUUCUUAGACUUGGUUUGGAUAUGAUGUCUUAUUUGUGAUUUGGAACAUGUAUUGGUCUGUUUUAAUAAGCUACAUAUUUGCUC